GUACUUCCGAAUGUAUAUUGCUGGUGUUCUUGCAGCCUCAGCUGUUGUGAAAGGAAUGUGAUGGUUACAAUCAAAUCUGCAUGUAUUUGUUUUUUUCCUAUCCACCUGCUCAAAUGUUAGGACAAAAAUUUGCUUUUUAAAGUAUGCAAAUCAUUUAUAAGUGUUAUGGUACACAGAAAAGUCCAUAUUUAAUGUUUUCUUUUUUCCUUUCUACUACAGUAAGAGGGCAGAACAAAACCACCCUCUGCUGCUCUGUAAAUGCUGGUGUUCCUUAAACUCACUGCCACAUGCAUUUAACUUGGACACUGUGCAAAUGGAUCAAAUUAAACAUGUUGGAGUUGGCAGCCAGAACAGAAGAAAACAGGGCUCCAGCUGUAGGGUUGCCAGAUCUGGUCUGCAGGUACUGGCAGAAAUCUCAGGGAACUGCUAUGCUUCUCCGGCUCUCCAAGCAGGGAAGCAAAUGUCAAGGUAAGCAGUGCUGAAGAAGGAAAAGUUUGAUCUUCGUGUAUGAGGUGACUAUGAUGCACGGACAUCUACUUCUACACAUUGCCAGCUGGCACAAGGACCAAGAUGUUAACCUUUGCAUUGUGCUUGCUUCCCUCCCGCCUCUGUGACAUCACAAGGGAUUACCCUUCAAAGUUAUGUCCUAGGUUUUUAGAGAAUGUGAUACAGUUGAUUUAGAGAAUGUGAUACAGCCAGCCCCACCCAACAAGGUCCAUCAAAGAAGGAAGCUGCAGCAGGGGUGAAGAGAAGGGUACAUCCAACUCUUCUUGUCUGCAAAAGGGAGACAAGAGUGCCCUGGAAAGUGGUGAUAAAGCAGAGGAGACCAGGUAGAGGGCCUCCUCAGCCUGGAUAGCACCACUCGUCCCACUUCCCCUCAAAACAUCUGAUUCGAGGAAAUCUAGUUUUCGCUGUUCAUCUUCUCCCUUUUUUGCAUGCCUCCUGUUGCUAUAUCUGUGCAGGGGGCCUGAAUGCAGGCUUCACAUUUAAGAUUUCCAGUUCCGCUGGAGGCACAUUGACCAGAGACAGCUUCGGUGCUCAUAGAAUUUUUUUAGACGCGCAGUCAGGUUUCCGGCAAUGCAACUCCAAAUACCAUUGGCCUUGUGCAGAUAGAUAUUAGCUUAGAUGUAGCCUUUUCAGAACCAAG
rnacentral:lncRNA from 1 species